AAAAACAUCGCCUCUUGACUUAUAAUAAGAGGUCCAGCCUGCCCAGUGAAUUUUUAACGGCCGCGGUAUCCUAACCGCGCGAAGGUAGCAUAAUCACUUGUUCUUUAAAUGGGGACUCGUAUCAACGGCAUCACGAGGGUUUUACUGUCUCCUCUUUUUGAUCAGUGAAAUUGAUCUUCCCGUGAAGAAGCGGGAAUAAUCCUAUAAGACGAGAAGACCCCAUGGAGCUUAAAACCAAAUAACAACUUAACCACUUACCCCACUAGAAAUUUAAGCCCUGUUAUAAGGUUUUUGGUUGGGGUGACCGCGGAGUAAAGAACAUCCUCCACGACGGAAAGAACACACUCUUUAUUUAAGAACCACAAUUCUAGAAAUUAGUAUACUAACGUUUACUGACCCGAUAAUCGAUCAACGGACCAAGUUACCCUGGGGAUAACAGCGCAAUCUACUUCAAGAGCUCAUAUCGACAAGUAGGCUUACGACCUCGAUGUUGGAUCAGGGUAUCCCGGUGGUGCAGCCGCUACCGAAGGUUCGUUUGUUCAACGAUUAAAACCCUACGUGAUCUGAGUUCA
rnacentral:rRNA from 1 species